GUGCACCAGGCGAGAAACCUCCGCAAUGCACGCAAGUGCGACGGGGGAACCCCAAGUGCCACUCUUAACGGGGUGGCUUUUCAGAAGUGUAAAAAGCUUCUGGAAUAAGGGCUGGGCAAGACCGGUGCCAGCCGCCGCGGUAACACCGGCAGCUCAAGUGGUAGCCGCUUUUAUUGGGCCUAAAGCGUCCGUAGCCGGUCUGAUAAGUCUCUGGUGAAAUCCCACAGCUUAACUGUGGGAAUUGCUGGAGAUACUAUCAUGACUCGAGGUCGGGAGAGGCUGGAGGUACUCCCAGGGUAGGGGUGAAAUCCUGUAAUCCUGGGAGGACCACCUGUGGCGAAGGCGUCCAGCUGGAACGAACCUGACGGUGAGGGACGAAAGCCAGGGGCGCGAACCGGAUUAGAUACCCAUGUAGUCC
rnacentral:rRNA from 1 species